AAUAGAUACCCCGGUAGUCCACGCCGUAAACGAUGUCUACUAGUUGUUGGGUCUUAAUUGACUUAGUAACGCAGCUAACGCGUGAAGUAGACCGCCUGGGGAGUACGGUCGCAAGAUUAAAACUCAAAGGAAUUGACGGGGACCCGCACAAGCGGUGGAUGAUGUGGAUUAAUUCGAUGCAACGCGAAAAACCUUACCUACCCUUGACAUGUCAGGAAUCCUCGAGAGAUCGGGGAGUGCCCGAAAGGGAACCUGAACACAGGUGCUGCAUGGCUGUCGUCAGCUCGUGUCGUGAGAUGUUGGGUUAAGUCCCGCAACGAGCGCAACCCUUGUCAUUAGUUGCUACGAAAGGGCACUCUAAUGAGACUGCCGGUGACAAACCGGAGGAAGGUGGGGAUGACGUCAAGUCCUCAUGGCCCUUAUGGGUAGGGCUUCACACGUCAUACAAUGGUACAUACAGAGGGCCGCCAACCCGCGAGGGGGAGCUAAUCCCAGAAAGUGUAUCGUAGUCCGGAUUGUAGUCUGCAACUCGACUACA
rnacentral:rRNA from 1 species